rnacentral:lncRNA from 1 species
AUUUUAACCAUAGCUGAUUAUAAUAGGCAGCCAAAGUUUAAAACCACCGAGUUACUUCUUAGCACAAUUGUUUGGCCUGCAAUUUUAUUAGGAACUCAGGUUUUUGGUUUAUUAUGAUUUCAAGCAUCAGGACUAAGGUAUAAUUACCAGGGUAUUAAGGCAUUGUAGAUACAUAGCUUUACCACACAAAUGCCAGAAUACUGGAAAGGAUAAUCACAUCUCUCAGUUUGAAAAGUCCUGUUUUCAAGCUGCUAUUACAUCCAUCUUCAGAAUUUAUUGCCUAGGGUUUGCAGAUGGUGGAGUGCUACUUAGAAGAGACACCCUGUUGGGAAAACCACAUUGCGGUGCAAUUAAUAACCAGGGAGUUUCCUUUCCACAUCCUCUUAAUUGAAGAUUGGCCCUCAGCUAACAUCCGUGCCCAUCUUCCUCUACUUUAUAUGUGGGACGCCUACCACAGCACGGCUUGCCAAGUGGUGCAUAGGUCUGCACCCUAGAUCCAAACCGGCGAACCCCGGACCGCUGAAAUGGAAGGUGUGAACUUAACCACGGCAUCACGGGGCUGGCCCCAGAUGAGAGUUGUUUUCAACAUGUGCUGUUUGAACUGAUAGUGAAGUAUAUCAAGUAGAAUGCUUGGGGGCAGCUGUUUUGAAGAUAAAGCUCAGGUGAAGAACAACAUAGGCAUUGGUUUCAUUUCUAAGCAAGGAAAUGUUAAAGUUCCUUGGUUAGAACAUUAACAACCAAUUUUAUUAGUAUUUUACACAUCAUUAAAUUAAACAAGAGUAACAAAUGGGUCUUCAAUUAG